GCAUGAUAUUAUCGAAAAAAUAAAAAUCAGCUAAUUUUGAUCCUUUUAUGACUAUGUCUGCGGAUUGUUGUAAUAUAAAUAUGGGAUAUUGGUUGAUGACAAGGUAUUUAUAAAACACAAUCGUACUUUUCUGCCCCCUGUGUUCGUACAUGCAAAUAAAAUCGAGUUGUCGCUCGGCUAUACAUAACUCGGCCAACCGGAAACGGACUGGUGCGAGAAAAACACAUCGUCAAGAAUAGGUGGCUGC